UACGUAUGGUGCAAACGUUGUUCGGAAUCACUGGGCCUAAAGAGCGCGUAGGCGGCUAGGUAAGUCAGGUGUGAAAUCCCUCGGCUCAACCGAGGAACUGCACCUGAUACUGCUCAGCUAGAGUGCAGGAGGGGAGAGUGGAAUUCCUGGUGGAGCGGUGAAAUGCGUAGAUAUCAGGAGGAACGCCAGUGGCGAAAGCGACUCUCUGGCCUGUUACUGACGCUGAGGCGCGAAAGCUAGGGGAGCAAACGGG
rnacentral:misc_RNA from 1 species